UCCAUAUUAUUUGAGCGGAAAUAACCAUCUCAGAUGCAUUUCACUUCACUUUUUCAUCUGUUCUAAGAGUUUCUCGAGAGAAAAAAACUGAAAGCAUUCGAGAGAUUGCUAUUGGAAUCAUUCUUGCCAAGUUCAAAAAUGUCUUCAUAAGUGUCUUCAUCUUUGGUGGACAGAAAAGGCUAUCACUCCGCAUUCAAUCGUCUUGUGACAUUCCUAAUGACGUUUCGAUUUGUAUGCUAUCUGAUGCAGAGAUUAGGGAUUGGAGAUUUGAAGUUGUGGUGAGGCCUAGAGAAAUUGUACUCAGCUCGAAGCACAACGAGUGGAUUCAUUUUCCAGUUCCAACCAUCAUAGUUUAAAUUGUUUCUUCAUCAAGAGCUCACCUUUUGCAAUUUCUUCCAAACGUUGUGCAAGCCAUUGUUGAGGCUCAAAUGCUCAGUGCCUUGCAUAACGUUGAUAUUUUUUCAUAGGAUAUUUACACCUUUUUUACAAAGUCCAACAAUAGAAUCACAGAGAAUAAGCCAUGGAAAACAUUCUAUCUUUCUCCGAAGAAAGAUAGAACCUUUUUUUACAGAAUUUGAUAGUUCCAAAAAAAAUUGGGAACAAUAUUUUUUUUUCUAUUGGGGGAGAAUGGUACCCGAGGUUUUUGACCAAGGAUAUAUUUCCUCCUGCAAGGACUUUCAUCAAAGACUUUGUGUGGUCCAACGCCGGCAUGAGCCUCGAGAGGCAAUCCUACCUGGUGGAUAAGGGGCUUCUCCAUGAAUCCAAAGACUCUACUAUUAGUAUCAGAGCCAUCCUUAAUCCUUACUACAUGCAAGUGAUGGCUCGUCUUUGUUUUGCUAACAAGGUUGACAUAACUGUUCUUCUCAUUCAAUCCCUCUGGGGUGACAGGCCUGAACCCAAACUUCUAGCGCUGCGUGUGAGGUCCUUGAGAGAUUUUUCCAAGCAGCCUCCUGCCUCUUGUGCACUCGAACUAACCGAGGCAGAAUUCGACAGGGCGUGCUCUGAUAGUUACAAAGCAUGUGCUAGGCACCAACCCACUCCUUAGCUCAGAACUAAAGGAAGUUUUGAGCCAUCGUACACUUGAAAUGCCUCUCCUAAGAAGUCAUCUUUUUCUUUUGCGCGUAGGUCGACUCGCUUGAAGAAGGGGUCAUCAUCGUUUGUCGAGCCUCUAGCUGUGUAGCCUCUUCAACAUGUGCCAUUGCCUGAGGAGGGUCAGAGGAAGCGAAAGCAUCUCGAGGAUUCUCCUGAUUAUGAUUCAGAUGAUGGGAAAAACACUGGUCGUCAAGUUCAAAAUGUCUAAGGAUUUUGUUUUCGAGUUUUCAAAGUUACUAUCAAAAUUUUCUGCCUCGAUGCUUUCAAAGGAAUCACCUGGCAAGUUAGUAAAAUCUCAUGCUACUUCGACGAGACAAUCGUCUUCUAAUUUAAAAAAAAAAAGUCUUCUUCAUCAUAAACUUCUUAGAAGCCUUUGUAAAAAGUAACUUCCAAUGUAGGGAAGUUGUCAGAAGCUUGUCCCCAAAGUGUUGUGACAUCAGAGGCCAUGUCUUUGAGUGCCAAGGCAUUAAAGGCCUUUCCCUUGAAUGCUAAAAAAUUAGAGGGGGUGUCCUUAGUGUCAAAACAUCAGACGAGAUACCUCAGAGUAUUAAAACUUCAGAGGCGGUGCCUCAAAGUUCUGUUGAGACAAUAUGUUUUGCUCCCUAUGCGGCAAAAAAUGCAAGUACGCCUCAGGUCACUUCAAUAGGUUCUACCGGGAAGCACUAUGCUUCUACUUCACAUAAGAGGCGUCUUUUGGAUGAUGCCUUCGGUGAUGAUGAAACCACAAUGAGUUAUGCUCCUAUCUUAAUUAACAAAAGCCAGGCCAUUGCCACUGUACUCCAUGACUUUAACUCUGGAGGCUUUGGCGUGACAAAAAGUAAUGAGCCUCGAAGCACAAAUCCUACUCAAACUUCGGUUGUUGAGUCUAGACUGGUUUCUUCCUCCAAAUCUUCCCAACGUCGAGAUAACCAAGUAGAGGUAUCCCAAAUUCAAAUUUGAUGUCCUAUUGUAGAUAAUGCUCUUGUGCUGCCCCCAUAAGCCAAACUGGGGGGGAUCAGAGGGGGUGUGCCCCUAUUGCAGAAGCCUCUGUUGCAACCUGACCCAUUGAUUAUGUUGUUCAUUUCUGGAUAUGUCUCCCCGAAUACAUUUUUCUGACAAGCUUGGGUCCUCGGCCAUCAAGGCGCCUUCUUUCAUUUCAAGUGAUCUUGGUGAAGAUAGAGAUGAAUUACCCACUUUUCGCCCUUCCAUUCCACACUUACCCAAUUUGAGGCUUGCUGCAAUGGUGAUUGAUAGUGCAAUUGUUGCCUCAUCAGUGCCUGAAAUGCCAGUAAUGUCCGCCUUCGUUGCAUUUGUGGUAAGGAUUAGUGGCAUGGAUGCAAUAGUAGGUAGCAAAGUGUCACCACUACACAUGAGUAUGUCAGACAUGAUAGAGACAUUUGAAGCCGGGGAAGCAUCAUCAGUGAAGUUAUUGGAAGAAAUGCUACGUAUCAGUCAACCUCAUUUGCUUGUAGAGGCAUUUGGUGCGUUGAGUACUUAGGGAGAUUUGUUGCAACAAGCAUCAGACCAUAUUUGGAUGAGCUACUUGUGUGCAUUUGCAGCCAGACAAGAGUAUGUUAUAGCAGUGGAAAAUAAUGUGACACUGGCCGAACAUAUUGUGGUGUUGGAGAGGGAAAAAAGGGAAUAGAAAAUUAUGAAUGAGAGGUGUGUUGCUUUAUCAGAGACGAUAAAUAAGUUAGAAAAGGAAUUAGCAGAGGCAAAAGCAAAAGUUGUCGCCAUUGAUGCUAAAUUAGCAUCGUCUGUGAAACUAGAGUUGCAGGACAAUUUGAAAAGGGAUUUGCUAGCCAUGAUCAACAAUUGGAUGGAAAAACAACAUCUCUAUGAAAAGCAUGUAGAGCAGGUGUAGAAAUUGCUAAAGGAGAUUAAAGACCAGAAUGACGAAGUUGUUUUUCUUGAGAUGGAGAAGAAUGAGGCAGAGAAAGCAAGAAAUGUGAUGGAGAAGGAGGUAGGGAAGCUAAAGUUUGAUUUGGAAAACUCACAUAAACAGAAGCUGGAAGCAGAGAUGGCGUUAGAUUGCAGUAACAAGGAAGCUGAGAACCUUCACACGAGCCUUGGUAGUACCGAAGAGAAGCUGUUGCAAAGCGAAUGAUGCGUGGAAGAGUUAAUAAAGGUAAUUAGUGAAGAUUGUGAUGUGUGUUGUAAGCUUAAAUAUCACGCCUUCUAAUGUGUUGUUACCGUCACGUCCUGGGAGUGUUGUUUUAAUAUAAUGUUAUUGUAUUGAAGGAGAUUGUCUAUAUUAAGGUGGAGACGCUUAAGCAGCAUAUUAAAUAUCGAGAGAUCACAGAGCGUAAAUUUAUCUGUAUUGUUGAGGUGGAUAUGGAAAAAUAUAUGUACAAGGCUCUGCGAAAUAUCAAAAAAAUGCCAAAGGAAAAAUGGGCCAAGCUGGAGAAGUAUUGCAUGGAUGUGGGUGCUGAGAAAGGCAACUAUGAUGUAGAUGCUUACCUCAACUAGCUUGGAGAUUUGGCUAUUGAAUAUCCGCAAUAGCACAUGGAUAAGCUUAGCCAGAGAAAAGACACUAUGGGAUUUAUACUAGGCAAUUGGCGAUCCCAUGGAAGAGGAGGGGGAACAGAGAGUGUAGCCUACUGUAGACCCUAUCAAUUUGUAAGGCAGCCAGGUGACAUUGGUGGCAGCUCCUGCUGCCGAAACUGUUGCGCCAAAGGCAGGUGAACCAUCAAGCUCUAUCCAGACGACGACUGAAAGUAACGAGCAAGGUGCUUGAAAAACAUUUUGUAUAAAACUUAAUCAUUAGUUUUCCCAUAGUAUUUUGUUAAACAGUUGACCAAUAGUUUGAAUUGUAAAUGGAACUAAAUUUUUUGCGAUAGCAGUGGAAAAUUUGAUCAAAUAGUUGCAUA